UACGUAGGCAGCGAGCGUUGUCGGAAUUACUGGGCGUAAAGGGCGCGUAGGGUGGCGACCCAAGUCGAUGGUGAAAGCUCGCCGCUCAACGGCGAGUCGGCCACCGAUACUGGGGUUGCUGGAGCACUGUAGAGGCUCAUGGAAUUCCGGGGUGUAGCGGUGGAAUGCGUAGAGAUCCGGAAGAACACCGGUGGCGAAGGCGGUGAGC
rnacentral:rRNA from 1 species